AUCCAGCCGACUUGUUCCAAAUAGGACGGAACGCGCGUCCUGUAU
rnacentral:hammerhead_ribozyme from 1 species